AAAUUUCUAAAAUAAUGUAUUUGUUAUUACAGGAAACUUGGUAGAAGAGCGAUUUAUGUAGUGUUAAACUUUGGAGAAAAACAAAGAACCGUUGAUUUAUCGAAGCUUCACAAAUUAAGGUUACACAAAUUAAAAGUUUAUUAUACCACUACAAAUGUUCAUCAUCUCAUUGGAAAAAGGGUCAGAAAUAUUCAUGCCUUGAACAUCCCCGCAUCAGGAGGUGUGAUACUAUACUAGCACCAAAUAAAAAGCCAUAAAAAUGAGCAUUCAGACAAUUCAAUUGUUAUGAUUCUAUAUAGGAGGAAAUGGAAAUAUUAUAUAUUCAGCGUUAAAAUCAUUUUAUAAUCUCUAUAUCUCUAUAUCUCUAUAUCUCGUGUUAUCAUUUCUAAAUUAUAUUCUAUUAUAUUUCAUGUAAAGCUGCUUUUAUUUAUGUAUUACAUUUAUCUUGAACCUAUCUGCAAAAAAUAAUUAUAUGAUACUAUAAUAACUGUACAAUGUGGAUAACGGAAUAAAUAAUAGCUUAGAUAACAAUGACGUAUUAGAGGAAAUAUUGGAUGAUUUUAAAUGAUUAAAAAAUAAAAGAAUGAUAAAUCUUGAAAUCGUAAUAUCUUCCAAAUAACGUAAGUUUCCACUUGUCAUAUUUCUUAUACAUAAUAAAUUUUUUGAUUUAUAUAUGUAAAAAUAAAAUAAAAGCAAAGUUUUAAAAAGUAA